rnacentral:rRNA from 1 species
AACGGGAUUCCCUCAGUAACGGCGAGUGAAAUGGGAUGAGCCCAGCACCGAAUCCGGCUGCCGAAAGGCGGUCGUGAAAUGUGGUGUUCGGGAGGGCUCUGUCCGUGUCCGGUGUCGGUCCAAGUCUUCUGGAAAGGAGUUCCACGGAGGGUGACAGGCCCGUGCGACCGAUUGCCGCGCUCGCGGACGAGUCCUCCUUCGAGUCGGGUUGUUCGCUAAUGCAGCCCCAAGCAGGUGGUAAGCUCCAUCUAAGGCUAAAUAUAACCACGAGCCCGAUAGUCCACAAGUACAGUGAUGGAAAGUUGAAAAGUACUCUGAAGAGAGAGUCAAAUAGCCCGUGAAGCUGCCAGUAUGGGAUUAAGCGCACGUAUGACGCGUGUCGUCGGCCAAAUAGGCGACUGUUGGGUGUGCACACUGUGCGCGGGUGCGCUCUGUUGGCGUGCUCGUGCGUUCGGUGUAUGCGCAUGCUCGGCAGAACGCUUCCCUUUGGUCGCACAUUGACAGGUCGUGGCUUCGUUGUCCAUGGUCUUAUUGCCGGCUGGUGACUCGCAGAGCCGUGUCGAGCGCUGGCACAGUCUUACGGCUGUGUCUGGCGUGUUCCGUCAAUUUGGCGCUGCC